rnacentral:ncRNA from 1 species
GCCGUCUCAUGGGGGUGCCCGCCGGAUGCGCCGGGCUGAGAGGCGAUGGUGCCAACUCCUUGAACCUGAUCCGGCUUGUACCGGCGGAGGGAUUUGGGAUGAUGAGCGGU